AAAGCAUGUUUACAAUAUGCAUAACGUAAAGUUUGGUCUUCAUCCGGGUGAAUUUAAUUUUCGACAUCUAAAUGGUCCCAUGGAAUUGUAUUUCAACCAACAAACUAUCGUGGAGCCAUACACAGUUCCAAUUCAAAUGCCGCCAUUCCCAAAACAUAUAUUCUUCAACCUUGAUGAUAUUGCUGAGUUGCCAAACAGGACUUUAGUCGACAUUAUGGCUAUUGUAGUCCACAUGGAUACAAUUCAUCGCACAAUGUGGGGCCCUUUCAGAAAGAUUGUUAUAAUGGAUGCUAGGGGGUCUUUACAUAUCAUUAAAGUUUGGGGUGACCUACUAAACAAAAAUGCACUCCGUUGGGCGUUGGCUAAGGAGGAUUAUGGCAUAAUAAUUGGGACUAUGUUUAGGCGGUUCAGAAGACAAGAGUUCCUCGAGUCUUCGGAUCAUACCGCAAUACACUUCAAUCCGUUCCAUCACAACACCCACUAUUUUGGACCAAUUCAAAAAGCUUUGGUGGCGCGGAACAACCGUCAGUUUGCUGUUACAUUUCUUGAAGAGCAAAGGCGUAGAUAGAUUCUACAAUUUCACAAAGAGCAAUAAUUGGAACUAUGUUUAGGCCUAGAUAGAUUCUACAAUGAUAGAAUACAUGUCGUACUGUUAUUGAUCAACCAAGAGCAACAUGAGGCUGAAUUGUAAUACCUAUGACAUGGGUUUAAUAAGAG
rnacentral:misc_RNA from 1 species